UGGGGAAUUUUGGACUAUGGGGGCAACCCUGAUCCAGCAAUGCCGCGUGUGUGAAGAAGGCCUUCGGUGUGUAAAGCACUUUUGUCCGGAAAGAAAACUUCGGGGCUAAUACCCCUGGAGGAUGACGUUACCGGAAGAAUAAGCACCGGCUAACUACGUGCCAGCAUCCGCGGUAAUACGUAGGUUGCGAGCGUUAAUCGGAAUUACUGGGCGUAAAGCGUGCUCAGGCGGUGCUGUAAGACCGAUGUGAAAUCCCCGGGCUUACACUGGGAGCUGCAUUGGUGACUGCAGGGCUGGAGUGUGGCAGAGGGGGGUGGAAGUCCACGUGUAGCAGUGAAAUGCGUAGAGAUGUGGAGGAACACAGAUGGCGAAGGCAGGCCCCUGGGCGAAUACUGACGCUCAUGCACGAAAGCGUGGGGAGCAAACAGG
rnacentral:rRNA from 1 species